rnacentral:rRNA from 1 species
GAUGAACGCUGGCGGCGUGCUUAACACAUGCAAGUCGAACGGAAAGGCCGAAGCUUGCUUCGGUACUCGAGUGGCGAACGGGUGAGUAACACGUGGGUGAUCUGCCCUGCACUUUGGGAUAAGCCUGGGAAACUGGGUCUAAUACCAGAUAGGACCACGUCUUGGAUGGUGUGGUGGAAAGUUUUUUCGGUGUGGGAUGAGCUCGCGGCCUAUCAGCUUGUUGGUGGGGUAAUGGCCUACCAAGGCGUCGACGGGUAGCCGGCCUGAGAGGGUGUACGGCCACAUUGGGACUGAGAUACGGCCCAGACUCCUACGGGAGGCAGCAGUGGGGAAUAUUGCACAAUGGGCGCAAGCCUGAUGCAGCGACGCCGCGUGGGGGAUGACGGCCUUCGGGUUGUAAACUCCUUUCGCCAGGGACGAAGCGUCAGUGACGGUACCUGGAUAAGAAGCACCGGCUAACUACGUGCCAGCAGCCGCGGUAAUACGUAGGGUGCGAGCGUUGUCCGGAAUUACUGGGCGUAAAGAGCUCGUAGGUGGUUUGUCGCGUCGUUUGUGUAAUACCGCAGCUUAACUGCGGGGUUGCAGGCGAUACGGGCAUAACUUGAGUGCUGUAGGGGAGACUGGAAUUCCUGGUGUAGCGGUGGAAUGCGCAGAUAUCAGGAGGAACACCGAUGGCGAAGGCAGGUCUCUGGGCAGUAACUGACGCUGAGGAGCGAAAGCAUGGGUAGCGAACAGGAUUAGAUACCCUGGUAGUCCAUGCCGUAAACGGUGGGCGCUAGGUGUGAGUCCCUUCCACGGGGUUCGUGCCGUAGCUAACGCAUUAAGCGCCCCGCCUGGGGAGUACGGCCGCAAGGCUAAAACUCAAAGGAAUUGACGGGGGCCCGCACAAGCGGCGGAGCAUGUGGAUUAAUUCGAUGCAACGCGAAGAACCUUACCUGGGCUUGACAUGCACCGGAUCGCUGCAGAGAUGUAGUUUCCCUUGUGGCUGGUGUACAGGUGGUGCAUGGUUGUCGUCAGCUCGUGUCGUGAGAUGUUGGGUUAAGUCCCGCAACGAGCGCAACCCUUGUCUUAUGUUGCCAGCAUUUGGUUGGGGACUCAUGAGAGACUGCCGGGGUUAACUCGGAGGAAGGUGGGGAUGACGUCAAAUCAUCAUGCCCCUUAUGUCCAGGGCUUCACACAUGCUACAAUGGUCGGUACAACGCGCAGCUACUUCGUGAGGAGGCGCUAAUCGCUGAAAGCCGGUCUUAGUUCGGAUUGGGGUCUGCAACUCGACCCCAUGAAGUCGGAGUCGCUAGUAAUCGUAGAUCAGCAACGCUGCGGUGAAUACGUUCCCGGGCCU